AAGUUGUAACCGUUGUACUAAAUUGGUUUAUUUGAUUUUUAAAAAAACAUCACAAAUUUAGCGCUUGGCGCAAACUCUAUUUAUAUAACAUUUUCAUUUAUUAUUAUUACCUUAUUAAUUGAAUUUAAAAUACGAUUUCGAAGAUAGCCCCUUUGUAAAGACACUCACUGCUUCACAGUGAGUGACGGAGUGCAAGCACUCGCGUUUACCCCUGAUGAUUAGGCAACCCCCAUAACGUGAGUUCGCUGCGCGCGCUUCGACGAGCGGUUGCUCAAACCGACACGUGAUUGGAACUCAGUUACGAUCUUAAGAGGCCGCACGUGCAGAUUCUGAACCAAGGGUUUGACUCGUUUAUCUUCGUGAGAAUUGGAAAAGGAGAGCGUGUAGGCCGUGUACCUUCAGCGUACCGAGUGGGAGCGGGACACACUAUUAGAGAGCGAUAUUUCCCGAAUAGGCUAAAACCAACGCAACGUUUACGUGCAUCCGGUGGGUUCGUACGUAACUUCGGCGAUCAGUUUCCCAGGCUCGAGUCUGAGAAAUUUUAGUAACUCGAUCACAUUCUCCUAACCCGUGGAACGAUUCGGAAGUGCAGUGAAUUUGCUGGAGUUGUAACAAGCUAGGCCGAUAGAAAGUAGUGCGACAGAUAGCUAGCUUUUGUGACCUUUGUGCGAGAACCUGCGAAGAAAGGCAGCGUGGUCACAAGUUUACUUGUCUCCGGCGGCUUCCCUCGUCCGCGGACGGGAUUGCUGGCCAAGCUACAACCCUGUGGCCAGCCGCCGCGCCGUCAACAUCGUGGCAGAAAACCCCCGGUCCUACCGCAACCUCUUGACCGAGCCACUCCAGUCACCUGUGGCCUUUUUGACGCAAACGCCUGGCCGCACCGCAACCUAGUGGCCGCGGCGAUCUUUGUCGACUCGUGAGGAUUCUUCACGAAUCACCGUACGAAACUGCCUGGCCCCCAACAACCACGUGGCCCGCAGCGAACGCCUCGAACACGCCGUGACGCGGUCACGGACCGCAGGUCGGCAGGCCUGAAGAACAACCACGUGGCAAAUCGAUCGGUUCCAGACGCCUGGUAGGUGAGUCGAUCAUCCGCCACUCAACCAUCGUGAUCGCACAACAGCAGCAGUAGCAGGUAGCAGAACUCGCAGAGCAGCAGUCUACGGCGCCGGCAAGGGCGAAGUAGAGGAGAAAGAACGCGCACAACGACGACGACGACGGGCUCGUAAGUACAAAACUCUGUGUGUUAGUUGUCCGUGUGCACAUGUGACGUCCCCUCGAACCACAGAGUUCGCAAGCAUGUACGCCCCGCGCUAGCCCGCACCGCUAGCCCCCCCAAGAACGCCCCAUUGUUGAAGAUCUCCGGAGAAGAAUUAAGAGCACGCACACUGUAGGAUAGGGUGGUCGUAAUCAGAAGAUGAAUUAUAACUAUUAGGGAAUAAAACUGAACUCCAAAAUGUUAAUCUGCGAUCUUUAAAUGCCGUCUUUAAUAAAGUCCCUAUUUAACCCUAUUCGAGUUGCUUUGGUUGAUGCUUGGGAAAGAAUUUAGUUAUGAGCGCUUGCGCUGCGCUUCAGCGGUCUGCUGCGCACCGGUCACUCUGCGACACCUGGUGGUGGGAUCUGUAACUAUCGAUGAUGAAUGAGUAUUGAUGUUGGGAGCUUUCGUUGAGCACGUUGGUUUUAGGUCAAUUCGGGCAUUAUGGGCUCGGAUAAUACUGAAGUUCGGUAAGUCGGACGCAGGGAAACUGCGGGGAAAGCUGAAUCGUUCUCCAAACCUCUUCUCACGAGUAAACUGGACCUUCCUAAGGAAGAGUCUCAAGCUGGGCAACUUUAGAUCAGGCGGGUGGUCCUCUAACGAGGUGGCGCUUAAGCUAUCCGCUUCUUCCAGUGCGCUUCGGCGAUCUCGCACAUUUCCCUGUAACAUUUUCUUGGAAUUUUCCCUGUACCGUACCAUGACGUUCUGGUCCAACGUCCGUACGGUUA